rnacentral:rRNA from 1 species
AUGGCGGCGUGUGCCGAACGUAUAGGUGUGCCCUAGGACUGUGGGAUGUUCAGGCAAGCACUGCGGUCUGUCCUAAACCUCGGUGAGGAGGAGAUCACCGCCAAAGUUGAGUACUUGAAGAACACCUUCAGCUCCACAGAUGACGAGGUGGGCAUUGCUGGGUCGACGGCUCCAAUGGUGCUGCAGUCGUCUAAGGACUUUCUGCGGACUAGGUCUGAGUUCCUCAUCUCUGAGGUGGGUUUAGAACCGGCAUACAUUGCUCACCGAUCGACAAUGCUCACUUACAGCCUUAAGGGCCGGCUCAGACCACGGUACAACGUUCUAAAGUUUCUUAAGGAAAAUGGACUGCUCGAGGACAAGCGCAGCUACUAUUCAGCAGUCUUGAUGACUGAGAAGGUUCUCAUGGAAAAGUUCAUAUGCCUUCACAACGAAGCUGCCCCACACCUUGCUGAAGACUAUGCUGCCCCUUGCAAAGGGGAAAUGCCGACUAAUUUGAUAUCUACAUCACCCAAGAAGGGGCUAUGA